rnacentral:sRNA from 1 species
UAACCAGUGAGGAGUGAUUCGCAAACAAAAGGCUCCUGGGGUCGAAACACGGCAAGACUCCCAGGAGUUUUUUCUA